UGCUGUGUUUGGAACAGUAUUAAUUAAAUGUACAUGAGGAAAUCAAUGGACUUGGUGAAUGAACAAUGGUAUAGAUAAUAUUGAUUGUGAAAUGGACAAAAUGUUAAACAAAAUAUGGCUUCAGGGGAAACCAGGUUUUUUUCAGGGAUUUUUAGGGCCCUUUAAACGGCCCCAAAAACUCAAUCUUGAAUUGAGUUUUGAAACUCAAUCUUCUCAUCAAAGUUUCAGUGCAGUAAAAAUGAAGUUGUUUGAGUUAUAAAAUGUUGUGACGUGUGGAAAUUAGUUUUCAGUUGGAAGCCCGACAAGCCAUCUUUAACCAGUUUAUAGUGUCCCUGUUUUAACACAUUCCGUCUCAAUUACAUUUAUUGAGUACAGGUGUCAGCCCACCGGUAGGGGGGGGGGGAUGCAGCCACCCCAACUGUUCAGCUAAACUCAAUCUUCCCUGCAAAAACGGACCCAAGAGAAAAUCCUGGAAAAAACCCUGGGAGAAACUCAAUUCACUACAACACAUUGCUGUGCUAUCAGAACUACUAUAAUUUCAGUAAAUAUACAAGUUAUUUUCUUAGAAUGAGAAUUUUUUUCUUAAACUGAGAAUGUUAGGUGUAAA